CCUACGGUGGGCUGCAGUGGGGAAUAUUGGACAAUGGGCGAAAGCCUGAUCCAGCCAUGCCGCGUGCGUGAAGAAGGCCUUCGGGUUGUAAAGCACUUUCAGUGGGGAAGAAAGCCUUGGGGCUAAUACCCUCGAGGAAGGACAUCACCCACAGAAGAAGCACCGGCUAACUCCGUGCCAGCAGCCGCGGUAAUACGGAGGGUGCGAGCGUUAAUCGGAAUUACUGGGCGUAAAGCGCGCGUAGGCGGUCUGAUAAGCCGGUUGUGAAAGCCCCGGGCUCAACCUGGGAACGGCAUCCGGAACUGUCAGGCUAGAGUGCAGGAGAGGAAGGUAGAAUUCCCGGUGUAGCGGUGAAAUGCGUAGAGAUCGGGAGGAAUACCAGUGGCGAAGGCGGCCUUCUGGACUGACACUGACGCUGAGGUGCGAAAGCGUGGGUAGCAAACAGGAUUAGAUACCCGUGUAGUC
rnacentral:rRNA from 1 species